UCCGUAACUUCCCUGUCAGUACACGUCAUGCAAAUAGCAGCUUUGAGAUUCUGAGCAUGCGCGUGUCCAACUCCUUCUAUAUCCGCGACUCGCACAGCAGCAGAACACGAUGAUGAAGACGCUUCACGUGCUUGUGGUCCUGGCUCUGCUGGCCCUGGGCUCCGGAGAGGAGGGGGCCCGUCUGCUGGCCUCUAAAUCUCUGCUCAACCGCUACGCUGUGGAGGGCCGAGACCUCACUCUACAG